rnacentral:tRNA from 1 species
GGGUGUACAGCUUAGUAGUACAGUGCCUGCCUGGUAAGCAGGAGGCCCCGAGUUAGAUUCCUGGUACCCCCC